rnacentral:rRNA from 1 species
ACUCAAAUGAAUAGACGGGGGCCCGCACAAGCGGUGGAGCAUGUGGUUCAAUUCGACGCAACGCGAAGAACCUUACCCAGGCUUGAACAGCGAGCGACCAUCGACGAAAGUCGACUUCCGCAAGGACGCUCGUAGAGGUGCUGCAUGGCUGUCGUCAGCUCGUGUCGUGAGAUGUUGGGUUAAGUCCCGCAACGAGCGCAACCCUUGUUUGCUGUUGCCAUCAGGUUAAGCUGGGCACUCUGCAAAGACUGCCGGUGAUAAACCGGAGGAAGGUGGGGAUGACGUCAAGUCAGCAUGGCCUUUAUGUCUGGGGCUACACACGUGCUACAAUGGCCGAUACAAACCGUCGCAAAACCGCAAGGUGGAGCUAAUCGGAGAAAGUCGGUCUCAGUUCGGAUAGCAGGCUGCAACUCGCCUGCUUGAAGUUGGAAUCGCUAGUAAUCGCGGAUCAGCACGCCGCGGUGAAUACGUUCCCGGGCCUUGCACACACCGCCCGU